rnacentral:rRNA from 1 species
UACGUAGGUGUCGAGCGUUGUCCGGAUUUAUUGGGCGUAAAGAGCCCGCAGGCGGCUUGGCAAGUUUGGGGUGAAAUCUCCCGGCUCAACUGGGAGGGUGCCCUGAAAACUGUCAGGCUUGAGUCAUGGAGAGGGAUGUGGAAUUCCAGGUGUAGUGGUGAAAUGCGUAGGUAUCUGGAGGAACACCAGUGGCGAAGGCGGCAUCCUGGCCAUGUACUGACGCUCAGGGGCGAAAGCGUGGGGAGCAAACCGG